UACGAGGGGGGCGAGCGUUGUUCGGAAUUAUUGGGCGUAAAGGGCGCGUAGGCGGCGCGGUAAGUCACCUGUGAAACCUCUGGGCUUAACUCAGAGCCUGCAGGCGAAACUACCGUGCUGGAGUGUGGGAGAGGUGCGUGGAAUUCCCGGUGUAGCGGUGAAAUGCGUAGAUAUCGGGAGGUACACCUGUGGCGAAAGCGGCGCACUGGACCACAACUGACGCUGAGGCGCGACAGCGUGGGGAGCAAACAGG
rnacentral:rRNA from 1 species